GCUGAAUUACCUCUUUUGCAGAGAUAUUCCAAGUUGCAUAACUGACAUAAAAGGUUCCAUUUCACUGUGUGCAAGUGCUGCUGAAGGAUUAUUGUGUAGGUGGAAUUACUUAAAGGUGGAUCAGAGCAGAAGCUCCUGUGAAGCAGAUCUCCCAGCAGAACAGUGUGUGUUUGUGACACACUUUAUAAUUUUGAGGGAGGGAUUUCCAGCAGCAGUUAAUAACAAAAUGGAAAUUGUGUGGAAGAGGAGGUAUGUUUUUCAGUGUUGCUACCUGAAAGCUGACCAAAGAGUCCCCAGACCCCAGCUUGAUUUGUGUGAGAAGGGAGAUAAGAGGUGCUGAGGGGGAGACAGAGGUGGGAUGUGUGGAAAGGUAUAGAUUUAUUUGUGGGGGUGUUUUUUCAUGAUCUCUGUCUUGCACCCACAUAAGUGUUCCAUUUUCCAUGAGCCUCUGUCUUGAAGCAUUUAUCCUGCCUCUUCAUCUUCCUGACCUUUGUAUCUAUAGCAGCUGAAGUAGCAGCUUUUCCUAGCUGAUGCACCCCAUGGUAGCCACCUACUUUAAGGUGCCCAGAAGGUUUUUGAGAAUUUUGCCUCUGCUGUUCUUCCUCUCUAUACAUCACUUCCAACUGUAUCAAUGUUGGGAGUCUAACGAGCUAAAGCCAGAAGUCUGAAACACAGACAGGAAAACAGAGGAUGUUUGUGCCUGGGGAAAGCAGGGACACAUGUUUUUAAAUAUUUUUUUAAAAUAUUUUUUCUCUUAGUUGUACAAAUC
rnacentral:lncRNA from 1 species